GUGGGGAAUCUUCCGCAAUGGACGAAAGUCUGACGGAGCAACGCCGCGUGAGUGAAGAAGGUUUUCGGAUCGUAAAGCUCUUUCGUUAGGGACGAACGUGCUCUUUGUGAAUAAUGAGGAGUAAUGACGGUACCUAAAUAAGAAGCCACGGCUAACUACGUGCCAGCAGCCGCGGUAAUACGUAGGUGGCAAGCGUUGUCCGGAAUUAUUGGGCGUAAAGCGCGCGCAAGCGGGAUAUCAAGUCUGUCUUAAAAGUGCGAGGCUCAACCUCGUGAGGGGACAGAAACUGGUAUUCUUGAGUGUCGGAGAGGAAAGUGGAAUUCCAAGUGUAGCGGUGAAAUGCGUAGAGAUUUGGAAGAACACCAGUGGCGAAGGCGACUUUCUGGACGAUGUCUGACGCUGAGGCGCGAAAGCUAGGGGAGCGAACGGGAUUAGAUACCCGUGUAGUCC
rnacentral:rRNA from 1 species